CAUUUUCCACUAUAAAUACCCAAACAAGGGGUUUGUCGCCACACGUUCACAUUCAGGAAUCGUUUUCUUCAGAAAAUUUGCCAUCGUUGAGGGAAGCGCGAGAGCCUUCGUUGUUCAAGAUGAGAGCUAAGUGGAAGAAGAAGCGCAUGAGGAGGUUGAAGAGGAAGCGCCGAAAGAUGAGACAAAGAUCUAAGUAGGUGCUUGAACAAGGAGUGGAGAUGAUGUGCUUUUCCAUCUGCUACCAGCUUCAUGACAUUUUAUGCUGUCAUGGCUCUUAUGAUGAUCUUGAGGUCUAGUGGCGAGGGGAGCUUCCAUCUUGACUUUAGUUUAGCUUUACUGGUCUAAAGAUUGCUGUUUUAGUGUGGGUUAAGUUAUGAUAUUGAGAGUUUUGUGUUAUCUAAUUAUGUACUGGUACGUUUUGUAUACUUUUUGGUUUAUCUUAAUAGCUUAAAUAUUAGUAUUUUGAGACGUGCAUGAAAAUUUGAUCCUUUUUAUGCAUUA